rnacentral:rRNA from 1 species
AGUAACUGCGAGUGAAGAGGGAAGAGCUCAAAUUUGUAAUCUGACGGUCUUCGGCCGUCCGAGUUGUAAUCUGUAGAGGCAUCGUCCGCGUCGGCCCGUGUACAAGUCUCCUGGAACGGAGCGUCAUAGAGGGUGAGAAUCCCGUCCGUGGCACGGGGACCCCCGAUGCUUUGUGAGGUGCCCCCCAAGAUUCGCGUUGUUUGGGAAWGSGGUUUUCCACU